CCAUGUGAACAUACCUAACGUUGCCUCGGCAGGUCGCACCUACCUUGUAGCACCCUACCCUGUAGGGCCUACCCGGGAGGUGCGGGUAAGCCUGCCGGCGGCCCACCAAACUCUGUUUGAUAUUGAAUUCUGAACCUAUAACUAAAUAAGUUAAAACUUUCAACAACGGAUCUCUUGGUUCUGGCAUCGAUGAAGAACGCAGCGAAAUGCGAUAAGUAAUGUGAAUUGCAGAAUUCAGUGAAUCAUCGAAUCUUUGAACGCAUAUUGCGCCCAUUAGUAUUCUAGUGGGCAGGACCGUUCGAGCGUCAUUUCAACCCUUAAGCCUUCGUUGCUUAGUGUUGGGAGCCUACGGCAACGUAGCUCCUCAAAGUUAGUGGCGGAGUUGGUUCACACUCUAGACGUAGUAAUUUUUUAUCUCGCCUAUUAGUUGGACUAAUCCCCUGCCGUAAAACCCCCAAUUUAUCAAGGUUGACCUCGAAUCGGUUCAGACAAACUCGCUAAAUUGAAGCAUCUUAGUCAGCGAAGGAAAAGAAACCAACAGGGAUUGCCCUAGUAACGGCGAGUGAAGCGGCAACAGCUCAAAUUUGAAAUCUGGCCCUCGGGUCCGAGUUGUAAUUUGUAGAGGAUGCUUUUGGCGCGGUGCCUUCCGAGUUCCCUGGAACGGGACGCCUUA
rnacentral:rRNA from 1 species